rfam:Glossina brevipalpis unplaced genomic scaffold Scaffold23, whole genome shotgun sequence.
ACCAAAAUUUCGCGAAAUAAUGCAUUACGGUGGUCUCCUGGAGGAGAGACAAUAGACAAAGUGUGUGUAGGGAGCAGGUUUAGUACGUAGGUACCAUGGGUGCUGAAUCGUGCAUGCUACUGACACGGGCCGGUAGUAUCCCUGGAAGAUUUUCAACUCCAGC